GAACCCACAGCUACCAUGAAUGAAUAAAUGGCGACCUGGAAGCAUACUUCUGGUAGCAAUGGGGACAUGGGUCAAAGGGGACUUGAGGUUAUCAGCUUUCAGAGUGAAGACACAUAAUCCCUAUUAGACUGGAAGACUUAAAAUCGAGUUUGAGACACACCUUCUAAAACUGCAGGCUCUUGGGAGCCUGAUUUCCAGUGAAGAGUGUUGCUGCUUUGCAUUUUUCACACUUGAACACAGUGAAGAAGAUGAACAUUAAUUAGGAUUAUAGUGCCAUGGAGGCUUACUGUGCUGUGAGAACUCACAAGAAAGAAAAUGCCAUUUCUUUUUUUGGA
rnacentral:lncRNA from 1 species